AUUGAAAGGGAAAUGAGGAAACUUGCUUGCGACAAUUUGAGGUUCUGAUCGGACAAUCCUCAUCCUUCCUUUGCCAUCCUUUGCCAGCUUCACUUCCAGCCGUUUGAUCCUCCACGUGGCAGCACUGGUCAGCUUCUCCAUCAUCUUCGGUCACUUGUGGUCAGGACGCGCUGCUCUAGCUCACUCACUCAAGAUCCCUAGCUUGUGGGUGUGUUUCCUCUCAAGUGAAUUUCUCUCUCGCUGGAUGGAGGAGUGCUCUUCUCCAAAUGAUGCUUCGAAAGAGACCCCCCAAGGGCAGCAAUGCUGGAGCGCACCGUUUCACUAAUUGGAAUCAGACCCAGCUGCCAAAACGCACCUAAACGGCGUCGUCCUUUUAGAGUGUAGCCCAAAUCUCCAUUCUGUUCAGCCACUCCAUUGUGAAAUCAACGACCCAAUUCUUCUUCAGCACCCAUGCAACAACUUCACUAAUUGGAGCCUAAUCCACACCAGUGGCCCAUC
rnacentral:lncRNA from 1 species